rnacentral:rRNA from 1 species
UACGGAGGGUGCAAGCGUUGUCCGGAUUUAUUGGGUUUAAAGGGUGCGUAGGCGGCCCGUUAAGUCAGUGGUGAAAGCCUCCAGCUCAACUGGAGAACUGCCAUUGAUACUGGUGGGCUUGAGUACAGACGAGGUAGGCGGAAUUGAUUGUGUAGCGGUGAAAUGCAUAGAUACAAUCAAGAACACCGAUUGCGUAGGCAGCUUACUAGGCUGUAACUGACGCUGAGGCACGAAAGCGUGGGGAGCGAACAGG